GCUAAGCUCCUGUUUUGGUUGUAGGAUGAAUGGGAGAGAAGGGGAGCUGUGGGAUCUUGGGAGUGGGAGCAUUUGUAAGCUUCCAGGCUGGCCAGGGCUCGAUUUCAUCUCUUUGUACCUAUUUCUGCUGUUGUUUUAGGAUCCAGCAGGUGCUCAGGAAAUGUUCAUCCCCUUUCCUGGGGGAAAGGCGGGCAGCAAUGGAGUUUGGAGCUGGAAAUAACGUGACGUUCAGCCAUGUCCUCCCUCCUUCCCAUAGCAAGUAAGGUCACUGCUCAGAGGCAGAUAGGUUUGUUAUGAACCAGGUCCUCACCUGCCAAGCCUAGGGUCAGAUUUGAGGGUUAAUGACCAACCUGGCUGGCUUAGAGGGACGUGCAGCAGAGCUGCUCACUGUGUGCUGGAGCACGCGUUGGGUGCUGGUGAAAGACAGCAAAGAGCGUGUUCAAAUGACAUGUGCCUCUGGCUUCAGGCUGUGCUUCUCGUUUCCUGUUACAAGUACAGCUCCGAGCUCUGGCAUGGGACAGGAACUGAAACACUGUCUGUGCCUGAAAACAACACCUCUCCAACAAGAUUUACUGGGAGCCCUGAUCUUCCUCCCAGGCUGAGCGGAUGGAGAGUCCAUCUCUUCUUCCUGUGGCUUCCUACUGAGGUGAUAAUGGGACAGACUUCUGAUAAAUACGGGUGGGUUUGCUAUGUCUAAAUAUUGCUGCACGCGAACAAUGCAACUAUCGAGUCUUUUUUGGCAGUGGAGCACUUCCUCCCACAAGUGAUGUUAAAGCAGAGAUGUAAACAACAUGCACAUAGUGAUACAUCCCAUCACUCUCUGCUCACAAGGAAGGUCUCUGAGGCCCAUCCGUUUUCUGAUAAAGCUAUCUGUAAUGGAUGGGUUUGAUCCCAAGACAAGGCAGCUCGCUCGUGACACGGCUCUGCUGUCAUUCCAGAUGGAUUUGUUCUAAUCCGGUGGUUCUCAGGCUGUUUCAUCAGGAAAGUCCCUUUUCCCAUCUGGAGGCUGUCUCCUUCCCACCCACGUUCUGCAUGAGGAGAGCAGGAGCACUGCUCCUGUGACAUCUCCUUGGGGCUAUGGAUCUGCAGACAAGGGUGGCUGUUCUGUUCCUGGCUUUCAUCCACAAAUUCUCCUUUUAAGGGCCCCGAGCAAGCUGGCCAGCUGCUGUCAGGAUAAAAGACUUCCACUGUGAGCCUGCACUCAGCCUUGAAACCAGCGGAGACAGUGAGCAGCUGUGUGGGGCUCAGUUGCUGGCUGGGGUUAAACCACAACCCUGAACAUGACCCCGGGGAUGCUGGACAAAGCAGAAUGGAGAAAAACAAGUUGAAGACGUUGGUGCAGCCUGUGUGAUCAGAAACGCCACCAGCUCAGCCAUGCAACAUCAUUCCUCAUCAGAUGUGGAGGUGUUUUCGUGCAUGCCAGCUCCAAACACUGCUGUUAGAGCACCCUGCCUGCAAAAUCUCAUGAGCUUCACAAGAAUUCAUUCAUUACAAAUGUGCUCAGCUCAGCUGUGGUAUUAGCUUCACUUUCUCAGAGUCAGGUGAGAUCAGUGUGUGCUCACUCCUUUUCCCCAGUGAGGGGUCCUUUCCCACUCAGUGCAAAUGCUGUGUAGGAGCAAUAAUGGCAAUUACGCGUGCCUGUUACUGGGAAAAGCAGUCUCCAGAAGUACUGUGUGAUCAGGGGAUGACACCAUCAUUUCUCUUUCCUGCAUAAGCUGUUUCUGACUGUAUCUCACAUUUAGGAGAUAGCAACUAGCUGAGUUGUUGGAUAAUAUCUAAACCUCAUGUUGUUGUCAUUUGCUUGAUUCCCAAAGGGAAAAUGUGACUUUAAUUGAUGCCUGACUGGGGACAAAGCCACUCACUGGGAACGGAGUGUUUCGGUGUGGUGCAGUGUCAGAGUUGCCGCUGUCAUUGCUGUAUUGAGACAGAUGAUAGUGUCAGGGUUGUGCAACUUGGUACAUAAUUUGCUCCUCAUAACAUUUCACAGGAGGAGGAGAGGGGCAUGGAUCUAUGUGUGGAUUAAUAUACUCUUACAUGAGAUCAUGUAUUUAAGUUGGGCUACUGUUACAGGCUUUCUGGGACCUAACACUGCUGGAGCCAGAGGAGAGACUCCUCUUGACUCCAAAGGGCUUUGGCUCAGACUUGUACUUCAGAUCAUAGGCAAACUUCUGAUCCCAAUCUUAAGCUCCCCAUUCACUUCAAGAGGACAAGAGCUGCACUUUGUCUGGGUUUUGUUUGGUACGCAGGGAUGUGUGCCUGACACUGGAAAUAGCCUCAUGCAGCUGUAGCAGAGAACAGGGUAAAAAGGAGUGUGAGGCCACUUGGGAGGGAAGCAGCUCUUGGUUUGGGUGGUUCCCUGGAUAGUCUGGAAUUGGACACUGAGCCCCAAACACAGCCCAGGACAGGUCAGUCCCCAGUGCUGUGCACACGUGAUCUCCUUAAAUUAAGGCAAAAUCAUUAACAUUUGGUGCUGUGCUGCUGCUGGUCAGUACUGAGAAGCUGUGGCUGCCCCAUCCCUGGCAGUGUUCAAGGCCAGGUUGGACACAGGGGCUUGGAGCAAGCUGCUCCAGUGGAAGGGGUCCCUGCCCAUGGCAGGGGAUUGGAACUGGGUGAGCUUUAAGGUCCCUUCCAGUAGAAACCAUUCUGUAAUUCUAUUGCCAAGGGAGCACAGAAGUUAUGGGGAGGCAGCUUGUGGUGCAGGAGGGGAGGAGAAGGCAAGUGGUAUCAGCACUCCCUCUGCUACAGUUUGCUGCCUCCUCCCUGCAGUGAAUGUGAGAGCUUGCUAUCGACUGCCCUCCAUUUUAAUUAAGUCCAGGAGCAGGCACAGUACACUGAAUAAUUCAAGAGGGACAUGUGUUUAAACACUGGCAAAGCUUCAGAUUCCACCCAAAAAUCAGUCUGUGAGAGAGCAAAUGGAUCCUGGUGAGGUGGUGGUGGGUGGACAACAGUUACGGAUCACAUCCCAACACCUUUGUGUUGCUCCAGCCAAGAAGAUGCCAUCUGUGGCUCCCGUUCUUGCUGCUGGGACAAACUGGGGCUGAUGGUGGUAGAAAGUUCAUGGCAGUGAGUCAAGGGCUGCAGGCACAAGGGCAACACCAGCACAGGCAGUUUUGGUUGGUGGCAGAAAAGAGCUCAUAGCAGAGAGUUCUGGAGAAGGGGCUGGUAGAGGAGUAGGUGAGGCCAGUAGCAGGGCUCAACAUCAGCAGUUAUAAUGGUUACUCUGAAGUUACAGGAGUAGUGGUUUUCCAUAACUGGGAGUUUCACCUCCUGCGUUUGUUUUCUCAUAAAGAGAACAUGCCUUUAACAAAAACACACAAGCAAAACCAUGAGCACACAGCUGCCCUUCAGGGUCAGUGUUUUGGAGCUCCAGAGCAGAAGUGAUCCUUCCAGAGGGAAGUGGAUGAGGAGGAGUCAGUACCUUUCCUGUGGAAGCUCAUUGAUAAAGGCUGCACCGGUUCAGAUGGGCGCGGAUCAGUCGGGACAACGUGAGAGGCUCCAUGUCCGUGUUCCUGAUGCGUGGCUGGGUUACCUGCUGAUCUGGUGUAUUCCAUGUGCAAGCAACUUCCUUAAACGUGUUGCCUUCAUGUUCCCAGGGUGAUAAAGAGUCACAUGUUUGUUUCAGAACGAUUCCCACCCAGGGCAGAACAACAACAUCCCAAGGCAACGUGAUGCUGCCCCUCCAGCAUCCAAAGCCUUGCUGCAUCCUGCUUUGAAAUGCACUGCUCUAGGGGACCCUGGAAAUGAACAUUUGCUAACGAAGGCUAAUUAAUGUCAGGUGUAAAAGUGGCAUCCUGCUGCAGUUGCAUUUGCCUUCUUAUUAAAGGAAAACUCAAUCACAAUCCACAGUGGGUGUUUUAGCUGAAAAUUUAUUAGAGGAACACAGUGUCUGUUUAGUUCCUUCUUAGUCUAAGGAUUUUUCACUUGUUCACCCCUUUAACUCAGCUAAGUUAAUGUGCCACAGCCUUCUAAAACAAUCACAUGGAAUAUAGAGUUUCAUUUAAAGGAAAUGAGGAAAACCAGUUACAUAAAAUGGGAGAAAAAUCCUGCUUUUCACCUCCACAGGUUUCAUGGAAUGAAGUGGCAACAUCAGCUGUUUUCACCAGAUACAUUGCAACCUGAGUGCUUUCAGUCCAUUUGAACCCCAUAGCUAACAAUAUCCAAAUGCACUGUAGCCAUUACCCUCUCACUGUAGGCUUCGCCAUUCCAAUGCAACCCUUGCUCUGACAGAUCACUGACAUCUUUCAUUUUUCUCUUCCCAUUCCCUCUCACAACAGCCCCAUGGUCCUGCUGAAUCCAUGAUGCAGAUGGUUAAGCAGCACAGCAGGGUGAAGGCAAAGUCAGGGGCACUAAGCUGCUGAUGGUGAUACUACUCAUCCUUAACGGGCUUGGGAAGAAGGCCACAUUUCUUCGGGUCUGGAGUUUGCUUGCCCUCCUGGUUGUAUUUCUAUACCCUCUGUGCCAUUAUGAGCAAUGUGAUCUUAAUCCUCUAUCUCCAUACAAUGGAGGGAGGAGGAAUGUAGCAAACCCCACAUAAAAAAAUGCUGUUUUUUAACACACACCAAGGAAAUGGAGUUCCCAAAGAGCACAUGAGAAAACCAGGAGUGACAGAAUGUGCUUUGGAAGCUGGCCAAGCAGGACUGCACAUCCUGCCUGCUCGUCACUUGUUAAAGAUCCCAGACAUGCUGCAUGCUCUACGUUACGUGUGUUCUCCUGAGACAGGGGCAUCUGGAUGCAGGACACUGACCUGAGAAUUGCCCCCAGCCAUGUAAACAAGCUCUGGGGUCUGUGGAACGUGAGGGAUGUGGAUCAAUGGUGUGCAUCAUUCCAGAGGGGUGAACGCUUUGGUGACAAAUGUGGCGUUUCCAACCCUAAAACUUGAACUAGAAUUAAAGCCAACGUUAAUUAUUGCUCUG